UACAGAGGUCCCGAGCGUUUGUUCGGAUUUAUUGGGCGUAAAGGGUGCGUAGGCGGCGGAGUAAGUUGGGUGUGAAAUCCCGAGGCUCAACCUCGGAAUUGCAUUCAAUACUGCUUCGCUCGAGUACUGGAGAGGAGGCUGGAAUUUACGGUGUAGCAGUGAAAUGCGUAGAUAUCGUAAGGAAGGCCGGUGGCGAAAGCGAGCCUCUGGACAGUUACUGACGCUGAUGCACGAAGGCCAGGGGGAGCAAAACGGGG
rnacentral:rRNA from 1 species